UACGAAGGGGGCUAGCGUUGCUCGGAAUCACGGGGCGUAAAGCGCACGUAGGCGGAUUGCUAAGUCAGGGGUGAAAUCCUGGAGCUCAACUCCAGAACUGCCUUUGAUACUGGCGAUCUCGAGUCCGGGAGAGGUGAGUGGAACUGCGAGUGUAGAGGUGAAAUUCGUAGAUAUUCGCAAGAACACCAGUGGCGAAGGCGGCUCACUGGCCCGGUACUGACGCUGAGGUGCGAAAGCGUGGGGAGCAAACAGG
rnacentral:rRNA from 1 species